CUGCUCAAACAAAACGACGUACUAAGACGGCGGUUCCUGCUCUUGCUGCUUCGUACUCCUACCGCGCUCUAACAACCUUGCAGGCGAAACCCUAAACUACACACCCACUAGUCGGAGGGAACUAGAGACAACGUUUCACGCUGCUGCCGGAAGUAACAAGCUGACCGAGAACAGUACCGAACUGACAGAUGAACACGUUCGUCCGAAAUCAAUACACCGUGGACUGCAGUACUGGUACGAUACAUACAUCGACAACCCUAGCGCCUUUCGCCACCGCUGUAGUGACGACUACAGUUUUCUACUAACCACGCCUAUACCCAAAACUACAUCUAACAACUAGUGACUCAAGUAGUGAAGUCUCAAAAUUAAAAGAAAAAGAAAAAUGAGGUGACUCCGUAUCGAAGCCAGUACAAACUGAAACGAUCAAUGGCCACACUAAAAGCACACACACGCACCCACAACCAACACACGUACGAUCGAUACGUCUCCGGUCCACACUUGAGUAACACAGACAUUGGUGAACUACGAGGUAAAAUUCGAUUAUUUU
rnacentral:rRNA from 1 species